AACAUUUCUCAUUAUAGUCUCAAUCUUGAAUCCCUUAAAAUUGGACCAAAUUCUCAAUGAAAUCACCUGAUGUCAAUGGCCUGUUUCUCCAGGACCAUAAAUCUUCUUUGCACCACAUAAACAUCUUUAGCUUGCACUGGGAUUUGGUAGCUUCCUGAUAGCUCCACUUCACUGCAUUUAGUUGGAGCCAAGACACAGUUGAGAAUCUUCCCCCAUGGGAAUACAAUCAUACUGUAGUGUGUAUAUAUAGAGAAUGAUCGUUUCAGGAUUGUUGGUCAAAUGCAGGACAAAUUGCUUCCUAUACGAUGACUCCAAAAUCUUUGACCAAUAACAGCUAAUUUAGAGCCCAUCGUUUUGUAUGUGUAGUUGGGAUUAUGUUGUCCAGUGUGCAUUACGUUGCACAGAUCAACAUUGAAUGUCAUAUGCCAUUUUGUAACCCAGUCACCCAGUUUUGGUUUUUCAAGAUCCCAG